rnacentral:tRNA from 6 species
GGGAUUGUAGUUCAAUUGGUUAGAGCACUGCCCUGUCACGGCAGAAGUUGCGGGUUCGAGUCCCGUCAAUCCCG